rnacentral:rRNA from 1 species
GGUAUUUUGACCGUGCAAAGGUAGCAUAAUCAUUAGUUUUUUAAUUGAAAGCUGGAAUGAAAGGUUGGAUGAGAAAUAAGCUGUCUCUAUUUAAUUUUAUUAGAAUUUUAUUUUUAAGUAAAAAAGCUUAAAUUUUAAUAGAAGACGAGAAGACCCUAUAGAGUUUUAUUUAUUUUUUAAAUAAAAUUAGUAGUAUUGAUUAUUUUUGUUUAAAUGAUAAAUUUAGUUGGGGUGAUUGAAAAAUUUAAUAAACUUUUUUUAUAUAAAUACAUUGAUAUAUGAUUAAUUGAUCCUUAAUUUAAGAUUAAAAGAUAAAAUUACCUUAGGGAUAACAGCGUAAUUUUUUUUGAGAGUUCAAAUCGAAAAAAAAGAUUGCGACCUCGAUGUUGGAUUAAAAUAAAAUUUUGGUGUAGAAGCUAAAA